rnacentral:lncRNA from 1 species
CGUGGGCGGGAGCGUCUCGAGAGAUGGAGGCUCGUGCAGCUCGCGCCGGGACAGACGGCGACGGACCGGCAGCCUCAGCCAAAUCAGCAGAGGACAGCAGGAAUACAUCUGAAGUUGACAGCUGUACUUGCAGCUUAAAGUAUAGCAACGUUUAGCUGAAAAGAACUUAGUCAUCAUGGAGCUGGCAGUUCAGCACACUCAAGAAAUUCUCAGCGUUUCCUCUUGUGUAUUAUGCGAUUCUGUGGGGAAAAAUGCGUCUGGGAGCCAGAUAUACAUCACUAUAGUGGUGUUCUUCAGCUUAUGUCAUAUUGUUCAUUGUUUCAUGAAAGAGAUGUGUUUU